rfam:Triticum aestivum genome assembly, contig: Triticum_aestivum_CS42_TGACv1_scaffold_433758_5DL
UAAAUACUUCUUCCGUCCCAAAAUUCUUGUCUUAGAUUUGUCUAGGGAUGUAUCUUGUCUUAAAUUUGUCUAGGGAUGUAUCUAGUUACGUUUUAGUGUUAGAUACAUCCGUAUCUAGACAAAUCUAAGACAAUAAUUUUGGGACGGAGGGAGUAUAAG